UACACUCCUGCGGGAGGCAGCAGUGGGGAAUUUUGGACAAUGGGCGAAAGCCUGAUCCAGCAAUGCCGCGUGAGUGAAGAAGGCCUUCGGGUUGUAAAGCUCUUUUGUCAGGGAAGAAACGGUCAAAGCUAAUAUCUUUUGCUAAUGACGGUACCUGAAGAAUAAGCACCGGCUAACUACGUGCCAGCAGCCGCGGUAAUACGUAGGGUGCAAGCGUUAAUCGGAAUUACUGGGCGUAAAGCGUGCGCAGGCGGUUUUGUAAGUCUGAUGUGAAAUCCCCGGGCUCAACCUGGGAAUUGCAUUGGAGACUGCAAGGCUAGAAUCUGGCAGAGGGGGGUAGAAUUCCACGUGUAGCAGUGAAAUGCGUAGAUAUGUGGAGGAACACCGAUGGCGAAGGCAGCCCCCUGGGUCAAGAUUGACGCUCAUGCACGAAAGCGUGGGGAGCAAACAGGAUUAGAAACCCCGGUAGUCCCA
rnacentral:rRNA from 1 species